rnacentral:tRNA from 1 species
GGGCGGUUAGCUCAGCUGGGAGAGCGCUUGGUUUACACCCAAGAGGUCAGUGGUUCGAUCCCGCUACCGCCCA